rnacentral:lncRNA from 1 species
AUUAAUCUGUUUUCUCAACUGCCUCUUCCUCAUCCAUCUAAUUGCAGUCCCCCUCCCUGCCUUUUUAAUGACAUCAUUUUGGACACUUUUAGGACAUCAUACGUGAGAUUCAGCACAAUUUAUUUUCUAUUCAAAUUCCAUAUUACUAUGUGAGUUGCCGUCUUCCCACUCCAACGGAGUAAGAUCUCCAAAGGUGGGAGAGAAAGUCUCAAUUGAGUAUGCCUCAGGUGCAAUUUAGUAUUCCAAAUAAAGGAGGCUUUUGAGGUCUUGCCUCUCCUUACCUCCUGAGUUUUCUUUUUAGAAAGAAAACAGACUUUACAUUACUGCUUUUGAUGUUGUUCUGGGAACUGCGAUCUUGGAACAGGUAAAGAACCCGCCAUGUUGGGCCUGUUGGAAGAAGGAGGAGGAAGCCACCCUCCUACCGAGGUGCCCUUGAACCUGGUGAGAGAAAGUGGAGAGAUGGGGUCUCACUUUGUUGUCCGACUGGUCUUGAACUCCUGGCCUCGAGCGAUCCUCCCACCUCAGCCUCCUGAGCAGCUGGGACCAGAGCUGCUGUCACUCAAUUGGAAAAAGAAUGAUGAAUAAUUUUAAAUGAUUUUCCUACAGGAACUCAUUAUACAAUGACAAAUGGAGGCAGCAUUAACAGUUCUACACAUUUACUGGAUCUUUUGGAUGAACCAAUUCCAGGUGUUGGUACAUAUGAUGAUUUCCAUACUAUUGACUGGGUGCAAGAAAAAUGUAAAGACAGAGAAAGGCAUAGAUGGAUGGAGUCUCGCUGUCUCCAGGCUGGAGUGCAGAGGCGCAAUCUUGGCUCACUGCAACCUCUGCCUCCCGGGUUCAAGGGAUUUUCCUGCUUCAGCCUCCCAAGCAGCUGGGAUUACAGAAAAUUACUGACUUGUGGUGAAUUAAAACAGAAAAAGACAACAAUGUAAGAGACAAGGAAUCACUGCAGAAUUAAACCUUUAAAACCUUCACCAAAGUGGGAGAAGAGUAGCCAUGGCAAGCAUGCGUUUGAGCAAGGAUAUUAUAAGGAUCAACUAAUUGAAGUCCAAGGCUUGCAGAAAGUGGAUCUCUAAAGAAAAUAAAUUUAGACAAUACUUUCCGGAGACAGACAGGAAAUAAUGCUUUUACUCAUCCCACUGAAGAGCUAUGGCACUUCCAAUUCCUGAGCCUUUGUGAGGUUCUGCGUGUCAGUAAGCUUGCUUCCGGGCAUCACCUCCGAAAACACUUGGGUUUCAGUUUUCUCUGUGAGGCUUCUUAAGGAGUGGAGGAAAGUGGAUGUUUUCAAGAUAACGCAGCUAACAUUCAAAGAGGUUAAGUGAAUUGUCCAAAGUCACACAGCAAGCACUGGAGGUAAGAUUCAAACCUGAAUAGUCUAUCAUUUCAGAGUACUUUCAACACUAUGCAAUACUAUCUCUCUAGCAAUCAGCCAGAUUGAAUAAGAUCUGUAGUUCACAGAGCCACUUGCAUUUUUAAUCCUAGUUUAAUUAACUUAGGAAAUUUGUAUCUAAAGGAUGCAUCUUUUUUUUUUUUUUUUUCAAUAGAGGCAGUGUCUCACCAUGUUGCCCAGACUGGCCUCAAACUUCUGGGCUCAAACCAUCCUCCCAUCUCAGCCUUCCAAAUGCUGAGAUUACAGGCGUGAGCCACCACGUCCCACCGGGAUACAUAGGUUUUACGGUAUCCUCUGAACCUCCCUUUAAUCAAGAGAGUGGACAAAACUGUGGGUCCCUCAUUUUCAAAAUGGCCAGUAAAAGAGGAAAUAAGGAUAUGCAAUGUUUAGUUAUUUUCUGCUGCCCUCUUUAAGUUGAUUGGGGAUCUCUUUGUCACUACUUUGGGAAGAUAACUUACCUUCUUAUCCACUAUGGCUAAUUGGAGCUUUUCUCAUGUCUUUAUGGUUGCUGGGAAAUUUUCAAAUAAAAUUCACUGGGAAUGGUUUGAAAUUGC